GGGUUGUGAGGUUAAGCGACUAAGCGUACACGGUGGAUGCCCUGGCAGUCAGAGGCGAUGAAGGACGUGCUAAUCUGCGAUAAGCGUCGGUAAGGUGAUAUGAACCGUUAUAACCGGCGAUUUCCGAAUGGGGAAACCCAGUGUGAUUCGUCACACUAUCAUUAACUGAAUCCAUAGGUUAAUGAGGCGAACCGGGGGAACUGAAACAUCUAAGUACCCCGAGGAAAAGAAAUCAACCGAGAUUCCCCCAGUAGCGGCGAGCGAACGGGGAGCAGCCCAGAGCCUGAAUCAGUGUGUGUGUUAGUGGAAGCGUCUGGAAAGGCGCGCGAUACAGGGUGACAGCCCCGUACACAAAAAUGCACAUACUGUGAGCUCGAUGAGUAGGGCGGGACACGUGGUAUCCUGUCUGAAUAUGGGGGGACCAUCCUCCAAGGCUAAAUACUCCUGACUGACCGAUAGUGAACCAGUACCGUGAGGGAAAGGCGAAAAGAACCCCGGCGAGGGGAGUGAAAAAGAACCUGAAACCGUGUACGUACAAGCAGUGGGAGCACAGAGCAAUCUGUGUGACUGCGUACCUUUUGUAUAAUGGGUCAGCGACUUAUAUUCUGUAGCAAGGUUAACCGAAUAGGGGAGCCGAAGGGAAACCGAGUCUUAACUGGGCGUUAAGUUGCAGGGUAUAGACCCGAAACCCGGUGAUCUAGCCAUGGGCAGGUUGAAGGUUGGGUAACACUAACUGGAGGACCGAACCGACUAAUGUUGAAAAAUUAGCGGAUGACUUGUGGCUGGGGGUGAAAGGCCAAUCAAACCGGGAGAUAGCUGGUUCUCCCCGAAAGCUAUUUAGGUAGCGCCUCGUGAAUUCAUCUCCGGGGGUAGAGCACUGUUUCGGCAAGGGGGUCAUCCCGACUUACCAACCCGAUGCAAACUGCGAAUACCGGAGAAUGUUAUCACGGGAGACACACGGCGGGUGCUAACGUCCGUCGUGAAGAGGGAAACAACCCAGACCGCCAGCUAAGGUCCCAAAGUCAUGGUUAAGUGGGAAACGAUGUGGGAAGGCCCAGACAGCCAGGAUGUUGGCUUAGAAGCAGCCAUCAUUUAAAGAAAGCGUAAUAGCUCACUGGUCGAGUCGGCCUGCGCGGAAGAUGUAACGGGGCUAAACCAUGCACCGAAGCUGCGGCAGCGACGCUUAUGCGUUGUUGGGUAGGGGAGCGUUCUGUAAGCCUGCGAAGGUGUGCUGUGAGGCAUGCUGGAGGUAUCAGAAGUGCGAAUGCUGACAUAAGUAACGAUAAAGCGGGUGAAAAGCCCGCUCGCCGGAAGACCAAGGGUUCCUGUCCAACGUUAAUCGGGGCAGGGUGAGUCGACCCCUAAGGCGAGGCCGAAAGGCGUAGUCGAUGGGAAACAGGUUAAUAUUCCUGUACUUGGUGUUACUGCGAAGGGGGGACGGAGAAGGCUAUGUUGGCCGGGCGACGGUUGUCCCGGUUUAAGCGUGUAGGCUGGUUUUCCAGGCAAAUCCGGAAAAUCAAGGCUGAGGCGUGAUGACGAGGCACUACGGUGCUGAAGCAACAAAUGCCCUGCUUCCAGGAAAAGCCUCUAAGCAUCAGGUAACAUCAAAUCGUACCCCAAACCGACACAGGUGGUCAGGUAGAGAAUACCAAGGCGCUUGAGAGAACUCGGGUGAAGGAACUAGGCAAAAUGGUGCCGUAACUUCGGGAGAAGGCACGCUGAUAUGUAGGUGAAGUCCCUCGCGGAUGGAGCUGAAAUCAGUCGAAGAUACCAGCUGGCUGCAACUGUUUAUUAAAAACACAGCACUGUGCAAACACGAAAGUGGACGUAUACGGUGUGACGCCUGCCCGGUGCCGGAAGGUUAAUUGAUGGGGUCAGCGCAAGCGAAGCUCUUGAUCGAAGCCCCGGUAAACGGCGGCCGUAACUAUAACGGUCCUAAGGUAGCGAAAUUCCUUGUCGGGUAAGUUCCGACCUGCACGAAUGGCGUAAUGAUGGCCAGGCUGUCUCCACCCGAGACUCAGUGAAAUUGAACUCGCUGUGAAGAUGCAGUGUACCCGCGGCAAGACGGAAAGACCCCGUGAACCUUUACUAUAGCUUGACACUGAACAUUGAGCCUUGAUGUGUAGGAUAGGUGGGAGGCUUUGAAGUGUGGACGCCAGUCUGCAUGGAGCCGACCUUGAAAUACCACCCUUUAAUGUUUGAUGUUCUAACGUUGACCCGUAAUCCGGGUUGCGGACAGUGUCUGGUGGGUAGUUUGACUGGGGCGGUCUCCUCCUAAAGAGUAACGGAGGAGCACGAAGGUUGGCUAAUCCUGGUCGGACAUCAGGAGGUUAGUGCAAUGGCAUAAGCCAGCUUGACUGCGAGCGUGACGGCGCGAGCAGGUGCGAAAGCAGGUCAUAGUGAUCCGGUGGUUCUGAAUGGAAGGGCCAUCGCUCAACGGAUAAAAGGUACUCCGGGGAUAACAGGCUGAUACCGCCCAAGAGUUCAUAUCGACGGCGGUGUUUGGCACCUCGAUGUCGGCUCAUCACAUCCUGGGGCUGAAGUAGGUCCCAAGGGUAUGGCUGUUCGCCAUUUAAAGUGGUACGCGAGCUGGGUUUAGAACGUCGUGAGACAGUUCGGUCCCUAUCUGCCGUGGGCGCUGGAGAACUGAGGGGGGCUGCUCCUAGUACGAGAGGACCGGAGUGGACGCAUCACUGGUGUUCGGGUUGUCAUGCCAAUGGCACUGCCCGGUAGCUAAAUGCGGAAGAGAUAAGUGCUGAAAGCAUCUAAGCACGAAACUUGCCCCGAGAUGAGUUCUCCCUGACUCCUUGAGAGUCCUGAAGGAACGUUGAAGACGACGACGUUGAUAGGCCGGGUGUGUAAGCGCAGCGAUGCGUUGAGCUAACCGGUACUAAUGAACCGUGAGGCUUAACCUUACAACGCCGAAGGUGUUU
rnacentral:rRNA from 1 species